rnacentral:rRNA from 1 species
GACGAACGCUGGCGGCGUGCCUAACACAUGCAAGUCGAGCGGAGUCGAUCGACGGAAGCCUUCGGGCGGAAGAUGGUUGACUUAGCGGCGGAUGGGUGAGUAACGCGUGGGCAACCUGCCUCGAAGACCGGGAUAACAGCCCGAAAGGGCUGCUAAUACCGGAUGUGGUCAAGGAUCCGCAUGGAUUUUUGAUUAAAGGGGAAACCCGUUUCGAGAUGGGCCCGCGUCCUAUCAGCUAGUUGGUGAGGUAAAAGCUCACCAAGGCGACGACGGGUAGCCGGCCUGAGAGGGUGACCGGCCACACUGGAACUGAGACACGGUCCAGACUCCUACGGGGGGCAGCAGUGGGGAAUCUUCCACAAUGGGCGAAAGCCUGAUGGAGCGACGCCGCGUGAGCGAAGAAGGCCUUCGGGUGUAAAGCUCUGUCUGGAGGGACGAAGGAAGUGACGGUACCUCCGGAGGAAGCCACGGCUAACACGUG